rnacentral:rRNA from 1 species
AGUAGCGGGACCAUAAUAAUGCAGUCGAGCGGAGUUGAUAGGAAGCUUGCUUUCCCUUUCGAUGCUUUAGCGGCGGACGGGUGAGUAACACGUAGGCAACCUGCCCUCAAGCUUGGGACAACUACCGGAAACGGUAGCUAAUACCGAAUACUUGCUUCCUUCGCCUGAAGGAAGCUGGAAAGACGGAGCAAUCUGUCACUUGAGGAUGGGCCUGCGGCGCAUUAGCUAGUUGGUGAGGUAACGGCUCACCAAGGCGACGAUGCGUAGCCGACCUGAGAGGGUGAUCGGCCACACUGGGACUGAGACACGGCCCAGACUCCUACGGGAGGCAGCAGUAGGGAAUCUUCCGCAAUGGGCGAAAGCCUGACGGAGCAAUGCCGCGUGAGUGAUGAAGGUUUUCGGAUCGUAAAGCUCUGUUGCCAGGGAAGAACGUCCUUGAGAGUAACUGCUCAAGGAGUGACGGUACCUGAGAAGAAAGCCCCGGCUAACUACGUGCCAGCAGCCGCGGUAAUACGUAGGGGGCAAGCGUUGUCCGGAAUUAUUGGGCGUAAAGCGCGCGCAGGCGGUCAUUUAAGUCUGGUGUUUAAUCCCGGGGCUCAACCCCGGAUCGCACUGGAAACUGGAUGACUUGAGUGCAGAAGAGGAGAGUGGAAUUCCACGUGUAGCGGUGAAAUGCGUAGAUAUGUGGAGGAACACCAGUGGCGAAGGCGACUCUCUGGGCUGUAACUGACGCUGAGGCGCGAAAGCGUGGGGAGCAACAGGAUUAGAUACCCUGGUAGUCCACGCCGUAACGAUGAGUGCUAGGUUGUUAGGGGGUUUCGAUACCCUUGGGUGCCGAAGUUUA